AUAAAAAUAGCCCAUCCAGCAGCACGACCUUCCUGCAAUCCUGCAACGCGCCGCCGCCUCCUGCCCGCCCCGCCUCACGGCGCGCCGCCGGCCACCCCCUCCGCCGAGCGCCGCCACCGCCUACCCGCCUCCCAUCUUGAUCCCCGAGCGCCCGACCCGGCCAUCGUUCGUCGCCAGCACCUACGGAUCUGGCUGACCCUCGCCUUCCCCGUCUACUGCACCUCCCAGCGCCGCCACCCCACCCCUGCCAUGCUCUGCCUCCUGGAUCCACAUCCCCACGACCAGAACGGGUCCUCCUCGAGGAGCCGCGCAUCCUCUGCCUGCUCCAACGCUGCACACAUCCUCUGCUUGGUUGACUCCCACCGCCUAUGAUCGUCCCUGCCGUCUGAUCAGGGAGAGUGUACAGAACAUGCAGGUUUGUAUUGUUUCCAGUGUAUGUUGGUCAUGCAUCGGAUGUCACUCGGUUUCUAGGAAUUUCAAGAUGGCAUCAAAGAAACCAACGAACAAGGAGAGAAAACUUAAACAAGAGAGAUGUAUGAGGAUGUCGGUGUCUCAUCAAACAUGUAUUGUGUGAGGACACCCUUCGUCCGACCUAAUCUUGACGAUCAUCCGCAGGUACACACAUACAUGUUCUUCCCUGCCGCCUCUUGGUUUAGUUCACAUGUCUUGAAUUACUUUGAUCCUUUUGGUAACUUGGUUUGACCUUUGUGAGGAAUCUAGAGCAGCACUUCAAAACUCCCAGGUUGUUUUCAUCAGCAAGCUUAUAGAUGACCACAUGGUGGAACUCAAUAAUACAACGCUGUACGAUGCACCUGAGAUUCCAAUGGAUACCUGUCGAAGCGAUGUGGUCAUCAGCAUGUAUGCUCUCAAGCUCCUGGUAGAGCAUUUUCCCUUAAACGAUGCUAUUGUCACGUCAUGCAUAUCAUGGUUCUGUUGGUUGGUAAUUUGACCUUCACAACACUUGCUGAUAUUAUCCUUUCCAGGAUGCAAAAUGAUUCUUCAAUUUGGGGUGCCAACUAUGCUAGCUUUAUAUUGCUGAAUGUAGGAGCUUAUUAUUUUCUUGUUGUAUUAGUUAUUCAAUGAUAUUGGGCAAGGAAUCUGAAUGAACUAUUCUUUCUGAUUCUUGGAGUUACAUGUGUGAUUGCUUAGACUCUUCUAAUUCUGUCAUAGUCUAGUUGGUUGCUUGGCUGAAAUAGUUUCUUACGGGCCUCCUUCUAGAUCUAUUCCCACUUAUAUAGAAUAUAUUUUCCACUGGUUUCGUCAAACAAAAAAGUCAUAGACAUUAAAUAUUUAAAGUUUUGUCUUGUUCAUACUUUCUAAAGUCUGAAAUUGUACUGAAAUCAGCAUAGAAAUUCCGCAAGUAAGAAUAUUAAAGGUACCCGUGUCAUUCAUCCCUACUAGAUGAUAAAUGCUACUGCUAUUUCUUUUCUCAAAGAUGCCUCAUUUUCAUUAAGAAGAAAGCUCAAUAGACCAAAAUUCCAUAUAAUUUCUUCUUUCUUAAGGAAAACUAACUACAGGUACCAAUCACCUGUUCAUCCUAUUUUUAGUUGACAAUAUACUGAAUAAUUUGACAGUGAACAAGCACAGAAAAUGCUCUUAAGAAGCGAUAGUUUUGAACCUGAAUUUAUAAAAGAAAAUGAAGCAAUUCGUGUUGAAAAUAUCUUAGGCAGCAAAUCCACCAGGUUUGAGAUGUUCACAGAAACAUGUCAGUUUCAGGAAACUAUAAUUGAAAAUUGUCUAUCUGAUCCAUCAGUAAGCAAGCAGAGGCCAUGUUAUCAAGGAACAGAGUUCAAAAACCAUCAAUCUCAGGAACACUCUGACCAUGUAUUUGAUUCUGUUGAAUACCCAAUAUAUGAUAAGAUGCUAUUUUCAUUUGCUAGGCAACCAUGAAAAAGUUUCAGCCCAAUUCAUAAUUUAAAUUAGUCAUGUGUAUUAUUUUAUUCAGUUUCUAAUUUUACUCCUGUGUGUUCUUUUAUUUAGUUCUGUGAGGAAGAAGAAGGGAUUACAUAGAUGUGUAAUAUAUUGUUUGUUCUGCAACCAUACCUACAUGGGAUUAUAGUUUAGUUAGAAAUCUGAGAUUAUUUUCCUUCAGAAAUGAGCAUUAGCCCUCAGAACAAAAAUGAACCACACAACUAUCCUCCUACUUAAUUAUUAGUCUGUAUGUUCAUUAUUACAGUAAGUUCAAAAACUGCAUUUGUGUAUUUGUACCAAGCUUUCUUGCUCAUCUCAUUCUGUAAGUACCAUUUUGUAUGUCGGAAAGCAAUGGUUUCUAUAUAGAGCUAUAGUUCAUCUAUAUGUUUCUCCGAUAUAUUAUUGAUGUGUUUUCCUCACCUGCUAUUUGAAUGACAUAAUCCUUUAGAUCUUCCCCAAGUUUGGUGUUAAAGCUAACAAGACUCCUCCUUCCUAUAAAUACAACUUUGAACGAAGGAAAGCAAGACAGGGCCGCCUUUAUAUCUUGGAUCACUCCAUAGCAGGGACCAAGAGUGGGCACAUCCGAGUUUAGAUAUUCAGUCACUGUUUUGCAAUCCAUCUCAAGCUCCACGGGUCCUCUGUAAACUUUUGCAAGAGCAUGUAGCCGAAACAGGGUUGCCUGGGCCUUCAGCUUCCUCCACACUAUUGGAAACUGGUAACUGAUAGUAUGUCGACAGAUAAACUUAGCCUCUGUAAUCCCUGGCUACAGCCCCCGGCCAUCCCAGCCACUGAUCUGCUAAAAACAUGCGUCGGUGUUCAACUACGCCGAGCCCUGUUCGGGCGGAGUCCACUGUAUGGGUGGCAGUGAAAGAGGUAUUUAUGUGAUAAAGGACGGGGUCAGUUGUUCCUUUCCCUUCUAUGAACUCAUCUUUUGCAUCGCAUCACCCAUCUCUUCCUCGUACUUCUGCCGGAAGCUGACAGAGUGCAGAACAUAUUCUUUUCCUUCACAGACUACUACAACGCACAGGCAUCUUCACAAAGAGAACAUAGGGAUUUUAAGUUUUGUAUAGCCUGCACUGGAGGCUAUAGAGUUAUGUUUUUGUACAUUUUGCGAAUCGUUUUGUUCCAGAUUCUCUUAGUGUAUAUAGUCUAACUAUAGAAGAUUAUUUACUAUCUGCAAAUUUGCUUUUUUUCCAUUGCUGAUCAUGUCCUCUCUGUGCACUUGCAUCCUUCUGUUAACAGUUUAGUGAUCUAAUGAUUAUUCAGAAGGGACGCUAGAUGUUCCUAGAUGCAUAGAUUUUCUUAUAUAGUUUUUCAUUACACUGAGAUUUUUUAGGGAUAACAAUGGUAUUUAAGAUAGUUUUAUUUGUCGAAUUCUCACACUGAAAUCCAAACAAACCAUACCUUCAAAGGCCAGCAUAAUGGCACUUAAAAUAAAUGCUAAUCUGCACUCACGCUGCAAUCUGGUGGCCAUUCUUCUGGUGAUUUGGUCAAAGCUACAACCAAGCAAAGAUAUUUUACAUGUUAUAAGAACUAAGUUAUGGAUUUUGUGUUCCCAGGUCUAUAAUAUGUGUGCUCUGUCGGUUCCCUGCAAGCUCUUUCAGCCAUGACCUCAAGUUCUGCAGCUAGGCUGUGAAUGUGUUGGUCCUUCUCACCGUCCACCGAUGAUGGUGCCCAAGAUAAGUGAUGGAAGGAGAAAAGGAUGUUGCUGUCGCGCGGUCGUCGGAACGACUUGCCGUGGACGUGGCCAUGCACUGGAUGCCAUCGACGACUAGCUUCCGCAAAAUAUGAAUGGAUGGGAUUCUGCUACAAACAUUGGGGAGCAUGUACUGUUGCGGUGCUGUGACAUAUACACUCCAUGGAAGAAACCCCUGUUUGAUUUACAGGUGAUGCUGAUUCAUUUGGAAUCUACUUUUGACAGAUCAAUCUGGUUUGUUGGCUUCUGUGUGGCUUCAUGUGACGCUCCAGUGCACUAGGGAGAGGUACAGGUCCCCAGAACUACAUGUAUGUACCGAAUUGUUUCAUCUGUCGAGUUUGACAUUCAAUAUUGACUCCUUGAUCCUGUUUCUUAGGGUUCAUGAUUGCCAAUUGGUCGUGGGCAAUGAACUAAAAUGUCUAUUAAAUGUUCAUGGAUAUCUUAAAAGGAGAACAGUUCAGACUUUAGAUGUACAUUAUAUUUGAUGCAUUAGUCUAAUCUGUACUUCAAAUUACAGUGUAUGAUUUGUUUGGACACUACAUAUAUAUUUGAUGGAGCCGUCUAAGUUAGACUAUUGGACA